GAUGAAGAACGCAGCGAAAUGCGAUAAGUAGUGUGAAUUGCAGAAUUUAGUGAAUCAUCGAAUCUUUGAACGCACAUUGCGCCCUUUGGUAUUCCUUAGGGCAUGCCUGUUCGAGCGUCAUCUACACCCUCAAGCACAGCUUGGUGAUGGGCGCCUGUCCCGCCCCCCACGGGGGCGCGGACUCGCCUCAAAUGCAUUGGCGGCCGGCGACCUGGCUUCGAGCGCAGCAGAAACGCGUACUCGGGGACCGGGCGCCCGCUCCCAGAAGCCAACCCACCCAGUUUGACCUCGGAUCAGGUAGGGAUACCCGCUGAACUUAAGCAUAUCAAUAAGCGGAGGA
rnacentral:misc_RNA from 1 species